rnacentral:rRNA from 1 species
CCUAAGGCUGCAGUGGGGAAUAUUGGACAAUGGGGGCAACCCUGAUCCAGCCAUGCCGCGUGUGUGAAGAAGGCCCUCGGGUUGUAAAGCACUUUCAGUGAGGAAGAACGCCUGGUGGUUAAUACCCAUCAGGAAAGACAUCACUCACAGAAGAAGCACCGACUAACUCCGUGCCAGCAGCCGCGGUAAUACGGAGGGUGCGAGCGUUAAUCGGAAUUACUGGGCGUAAAGCGCGCGUAGGUGGCUUGAUAAGCCGGUUGUGAAAGCCCCGGGCUCAACCUGGGAACGGCAUCCGGAACUGUCAAGCUAGAGUGCAGGAGAGGAAGGUAGAAUUCCCGGUGUAGCGGUGAAAUGCGUAGAGAUCGGGAGGAAUACCAGUGGCGAAGGCGGCCUUCUGGACUGACACUGACACUGAGGUGCGAAAGCGUGGGUAGCAAACAGGAUUAGAUACCCGAGUAGUC